GAUGAACGCUGGCGGCGUGCCUAAUACAUGCAAGUCGAGCGAAUGGAUUAAGAGCUUGCUCUUAUGAAGUUAGCGGCGGACGGGUGAGUAACACGUGGGUAACCUGCCCAUAAGACUGGGAUAACUCCGGGAAACCGGGGCUAAUACCGGAUAACAUUUUGAACCGCAUGGUUCGAAAUUGAAAGGCGGCUUCGGCUGUCACUUAUGGAUGGACCCGCGUCGCAUUAGCUAGUUGGUGAGGUAACGGCUCACCAAGGCAACGAUGCGUGGCCGACCUGAGAGGGUGAUCGGCCACACUGGGACUGAGACACGGCCCAGACUCCUACGGGAGGCAGCAGUAGGGAAUCUUCCGCAAUGGACGAAAGUCUGACGGAGCAACGCCGCGUGAGUGAUGAAGGCUUUCGGGUCGUAAAACUCUGUUGUUAGGGAAGAACAAGUGCUAGUUGAAUAAGCUGGCACCUUGACGGUACCUAACCAGAAGGCCACGGCUAACUACGUGCCAGCCGCCGCCGUAA
rnacentral:rRNA from 1 species